CGGAAGCGGGUGCCGGUUGGCUGGGGACGUUUAUCACCAUGGCGACAGCGGCCGGGGGGCGGUGCUCGCUGUCCAGCUUUGAAAGAAGCAUGCUUCUGUGACACUUGGCAUUCGAAAAAGGCUCCAGAGGCGAUGACAAGUGACAAGAAGAGCUGCGGAAGUGCGGGUCCAAUGAAGCCAUGUCAGGAAGUCUUUGGUUUCUGGGCUGAAAGAUGAGGAAGGCACGCACGGGGAUAUUGGGACUAGGACAGUAAAGAAAUCCUCCAAAACGCUCUGGGUGUACUCGAAGGUAGGACGAUCCUCUGGUUUAGUCUUCCAGCAUCUCAUCAUAAUGUCAUACAGCUCUUCUGGGCAGUUCUCUGUGCGUGGCAUCCGGUACCCGUGAUCCAGGGCCCUGAUCACCUCCACGCUUGACAUCCCUAGAGAAACAGGGCAGGGUAGAAGCCUGCGUGAAUACUUGAUGGGUUGUUUAAAAGGCAAAAAUCCAGCAUUCUACUGGCAUUGUCCAAAGGGUGGAGGAAAAGGACAGGUUAGAGGAGCAAGGGUGAGGGAAGAAGUCAUUUUACUCCUUUUCUGGGAAAGAUGCAAACAAGUGAGAUGCUGAGAUAUUUGUUGCUGCAACAAUCAGUUUUGUAACCCAGCUGAGCAAAUUAGAUGGGAACUGUAAUCAUUUUGUAUAAAAUUCCAAAAAAUAAAUGCCAAACUUUUCUGUCUACUGA